UGCUUUGUAAGCUCAGCAGACAGGCCCCAGCUGCAGGUCUGCAGUUCUCAUUAAGGGCGUACCUGUGGUCGGAGGUUUAAACUUACACUUGAAGUUAAGCUUGUGCUAAGGGCAUGGCAGCAUAUCUGGCAUGUGAGUGACUGUGCUGGAUAUCAAGGAAGGAAAAUGUGGCAGCACCCAACAGAGUAACUAAAACUGGGUGAGAGAAAGGAGUAAGAGGGCCCUUGGUGGCACCUGGGUCCCUUUCCCUCACACAGGAGGGAAUUUGGGGCCUCGCCUCUCUGUGUGAUUAAAUGCAGCUGUGCUUUUUGCCUCUUUUGUCUUCAGCAUCUCCUGGUCAAACCCACCACAGUAAAAGUGUGGGCAGGGGUUUUCUUCCGGGCAAACUGCCACAUGCAGACCCAGAGGCCCCAUAGAAACAGGCUCUAUCCAACUGCAGCUUUUGGAUCCAGUCAGCAAUUAUUUGUCUUCUCAAAUUAAGUUGUUGCAACUCCUGCCCUAAUGACAGGAAUGCUUGUGUGUGAACGUGCAGGUCUAAGAUACAAAAACCAUCAAGCAAUAAUAACAAGCAAAUGCAGCUGUCCUAACCAUCUAACUGAAAAGAUGCUCCUUACCUCCUUCCACAGUGGCUUUCCAAUUUUGACAUAGUCCUCAUUUAUGUCACAGGCAACAACUCUUCCAUUAUCUGGCAGGACAAGUGCCAUAUUCAAGGUAUUAUAUCCUGUGAAAACACCUAGGAAGAAAAUGACAGAAGUCAUCAAAAAUUACUGUUUUGAAAAAUUUAUAAAUAGUAAAUCAGAGGACUCCCACCUGGAAUGAUAAUAAAACCAAUAAUAAUAAUAAUAAAAAGUAAAACCAGCAGAGACCCAGAAGGGUUGAAGAUGGCAAUUUGUUAAUGGACUCAAAAGGCUUUCUAUUUCAUUCCAAUGUUACAGGGGUUGGUAAGAUAUUUUUUCCUCCUCUUCAAUCAAUCUUUAAGUUGCAUGUGUGUUUUUUUUAUUUGUUUGUUUGUCCUCCUCCCCUCCCCCCCAAAAAAAUUCUCCAGGACACAGAGGGCAGGAUCUGGUCCUGCACCUGAGGAACACACUCACUUAAAAGUGGAGCUAAAUCCUGAGCUAAAAGGACUGGAUCUGUCCAGGAGCAAAAUACCAGGGCAUCAUAAGGAGAGGCCAAAGAUAAAGAUGGUGGGAACCCAUACCUGGCUGCUCAGCAUCACUCUGGCUUUGGGACAUCCUCCUAACAUAGGCAUUUCCGAGAAAGUGGAUUGGAUUCAGGGCCUGUGCAGCAAACCAAUUCCUUUUGGCAAGAAACUGAUACAGAAAAGAAGGAAUACACCCUGCCCUGCAAUUGCUGGCCAGCACUGGAGACCCAAGUGAUCUAUUGGUCCUAAUUUUUCAGGUUGCUUCUGAGUUGAUGAGACAUCCCUGCUGCUGCUAAAAUUACUGAAUGCACAAGUAGACAAACGGGCAAGAAAGUGCAAAUCAGAUGCUACUAUCACACUGCAGUUCACCCACAUGAUUGCUGAGACAGAGAUGCAGUACUUUACUAUACUGGGAAAUCUUACCUUACAUAAACAUGGCUGGAUUUGGAGAAGCACAGCCAGGAGAUUUAUUUAUCUACAGAGAAGAUGAAGUGACGGUCUUACCUAUUUCUAUAACUUUCUUGGCUUUAAUGAGUUUGACCAAAUUUGCCAUAAGCUGAGCCUGGUCACAGGACACCAUCAUUCUACCCCAGGGAUGAUCUGUAGUGAGCUGAAGAGAGGAAAUAACACAAUGAAACAAUAACAAUACUAAGAACAACAACAAAACCCAAAGCUUCCAAAAUUAUGUCCUAAGGCAGAAAAAUCCCAGGAAAAACAGAGAUGCUCUUACCUUUCUUAUUCUAGAUGGCUUUGUGCUCCAUGUAUGAGACAGAAAUUUGUUUUGAAUUUAACAGUAACUGAGGUGGGAAGGGGCGAAGUCAUAAGCAGUUGAUAAUCAUGCAAAACAGUGGUAUGAUCCAAAGUUACCCCGUGGCUGUAGCAAACUCAGCAAUAAAGUUGUAAUGGAUGAA